GUAGGGUGCGAGCGUUAAUCGGGAAUUACUGGGGCGUAAAGCGUGCGCAGGCGGUUUUGUAAGACAGGCGUGAAAUCCCCCGAGCUCAACUUGGGGAAUGGCGCUUGUGACUGCAAGGCUAGAGUAUGUCAGAGGGGGGUAGAAUUCCACGUGUAGCAGUGAAAUGCGUAGAGAUGUGGAGGAAUACCGAUGGCGAAGGCAGCCCCCUGGGACGUCACUGACGCUCAUGCACGAAAGCGUGGGGAGCAAACAGGAUUAGAUACCCUGGUAGUCCACGCCCUAAACGAUGUCAACUAGUUGUUGGGGAUUCAUUUCUUCAGUAACGUAGCUAACGCGUGAAGUUGACCGCCUGGGGAGUACGGUCGCAAGAUUA
rnacentral:rRNA from 1 species